rnacentral:rRNA from 1 species
UACGGGAGGCAGCAGUGGGGAAUAUUGCACAAUGGGCGCAAGCCUGAUGCAGCCAUGCCGCGUGUAUGAAGAAGGCCUUCGGGUUGUAAAGUACUUUCAGCGGGGAGGAAGGCGGUAAGGUUAAUAACCUUAUCGAUUGACGUUACCCGCAGAAGAAGCACCGGCUAACUCCGUGCCAGCAGCCGCGGUAAUACGGAGGGUGCAAGCGUUAAUCGGAAUUACUGGGCGUAAAGCGCACGCAGGCGGUCUGUCAAGUCGGAUGUGAAAUCCCCGGGCUUAACCUGGGAACUGCAUUCGAAACUGGCAGGCUAGAGUCUUGUAGAGGGGGUAGAAUUCCAGGUGUAGCGGUGAAAUGCGUAGAGAUCUGGAGGAAUACCGGUGGCGAAGGCGGCCCCUGGACAAGACUGACGCUCAGGUGCGAAAGCGUGGGGAGCAAAC